GCAUUACGAUACUGACCUGCAGUCGAGCGGCAGCACGGGGAGCUUGCUCCCUGGUGGCGAGCGGCGGACGGGUGAGUAAUGCAUAGGAAUCUGCCCGGUAGUGGGGGAUAACGUGGGGAAACCCACGCUAAUACCGCAUACGUCCUACGGGAGAAAGCGGAGGAUCUUCGGACUUCGCGCUAUCGGAUGAGCCUAUGUCGGAUUAGCUAGUUGGUAAGGUAACGGCUUACCAAGGCGACGAUCCGUAGCUGGUCUGAGAGGAUGAUCAGCCACACUGGGACUGAGACACGGCCCAGACUCCUACGGGAGGCAGCAGUGGGGAAUAUUGGACAAUGGGCGAAAGCCUGAUCCAGCCAUGCCGCGUGUGUGAAGAAGGCUUUCGGGUUGUAAAGCACUUUCAGCGAGGAAGAAAGCCUCUGGGUUAAUACCCCAGAGGAAGGACAUCACUCGCAAAAGAAGCACCGGCUAACUCCGUGCCAGCAGCCGCGGUAAUACGGAGGGUGCGAGCGUUAAUCGGAAUUACUGGGCGUAAAGCGCGCGUAGGUGGCUUGGCACGCCGGUUGUGAAAGCCCCGGGCUCAACCUGGGAACGGCAUCCGGAACGGCCAGGCUAGAGUGCAGGAGAGGAAGGUAGAAUUCCCGGUGUAGCGGUGAAAUGCGUAGAGAUCGGGAGGAAUACCAGUGGCGAAGGCGGCCUUCUGGCCUGACACUGACACUGAGGUGCGAAAGCGUGGGUAGCAAACAGGAUUAGAUACCCUGGUAGUCCACGCCGUAAACGAUGUCGACUAGCCGUUGGGACCUUUAAGGACUUAGUGGCGCAGUUAACGCGAUAAGUCGACCGCCUGGGGAGUACGGCCGCAAGGUUAAAACUCAAAUGAAUUGACGGGGGCCCGCACAAGCGGUGGAGCAUGUGGUUUAAUUCGAUGCAACGCGAAGAACCUUACCUACCCUUGACAUCCAGAGAAGUUGGCAGAGAUGCCUUCGUGCCUUCGGGAACUCUGAGACAGGUGCUGCAUGGCUGUCGUCAGCUCGUGUUGUGAAUGUUGGGUUAGUCCCGUAACGAGCGCACCCUUGUCUUAUUUGCAGCGAGUAUGUCGGACUCUAGGAGACUGCGUGACAACGGAGAGGUGGGGACGACGUCAGUCAUCAUGCCUUACGGUUAGCCUAACAACGUGCUACAUGGGCCGGUACAAGUUGCCGAACUCGAAGUGAACGAUCCAGAGGCGGCCCUUCAAGUCCGGGAAUUCGA
rnacentral:rRNA from 1 species